rnacentral:rRNA from 1 species
AUGUAACGGGGCUAAACCAUGCACCGAAGCUGCGGCAGCGAACGUAUCACCCAAGACAACUUUACGGAGUUGACGAUUGACGGAGCGAAGCGACGUCAAAGCGUUCAUUAAAGUCGAGUUGGCUUAGGGAUACGUUCGUUGGGUAGGGGAGCGUUCUGUAAGCCUGUGAAGGUGUGUCGUGAGGCAUGCUGGAGGUAUCAGAAGUGCGAAUGCUGACAUAAGUAACGAUAAAGCGGGUGAAAAGCCCGCUCGCCGGAAGACCAAGGGUUCCUGUCCAACGUUAAUCGGGGCAGGGUGAGUCGACCCCUAAGGCGAGGCCGAAAGGCGUAGUCGAUGGGAAACGGGUUAAUAUUCCCGUACUUGGUGUUACUGCGAAGGGGGGACGGAGAAGGCUAUGUUGGCCGGGCGACGGUUGUCCCGGUUUAAGCGUGUAGGUGUGUGUUCCAGGUAAAUCCGGUUCACUUUAACACUGAGGCGUGACGACGAGGCACUACGGUGCUGAAGCAACAAAUGCCCUGCUUCCAGGAAAAGCCUCUAAGCAUCAGGUAACAUCAAAUCGUACCCCAAACCGACACAGGUGGUCAGGUAGAGAAUACCAAGGCGCUUGAGAGAACUCGGGUGAAGGAACUAGGCAAAAUGGUGCCGUAACUUCGGGAGAAGGCACGCUGACACGUAGGUGAAGUGAUUUACUCAUGGAGCUGAAGUCAGUCGAAGAUACCAGCUGGCUGCAACUGUUUAUUAAAAACACAGCACUGUGCAAACACGAAAGUGGACGUAUACGGUGUGACGCCUGCCCGGUGCCGGAAGGUUAAUUGAUGGGGUCAGCGCAAGCGAAGCUCCUGAUCGAAGCCCCGGUAAACGGCGGCCGUAACUAUAACGGUCCUAAGGUAGCGAAAUUCCUUGUCGGGUAAGUUCCGACCUGCACGAAUGGCGUAAUGAUGGCCAGGCUGUCUCCACCCGAGACUCAGUGAAAUUGAACUCGCUGUGAAGAUGCAGUGUACCCGCGGCAAGACGGAAAGACCCCGUGAACCUUUACUAUAGCUUGACACUGAACAUUGAGCCUUGAUGUGUAGGAUAGGUGGGAGGCUUUGAAGUGUGGACGCCAGUCUGCAUGGAGCCGACCUUGAAAUACCACCCUUUAAUGUUUGAUGUUCUAACGUGGACCCGUAAUCCGGGUUGCGGACAGUGUCUGGUGGGUAGUUUGACUGGGGCGGUCUCCUCCUAAAGAGUAACGGAGGAGCACGAAGGUUGGCUAAUCCUGGUCGGACAUCAGGAGGUUAGUGCAAUGGCAUAAGCCAGCUUGACUGCGAGCGUGACGGCGCGAGCAGGUGCGAAAG